UAUCAGGCACGCCCAAAACAUCUAGCCAUGCCACACCCAGGGUACUCAGCAGUGAUUAACAUUAAAUAAACGCCAGUUUGAUUUAGCUAAUGAAAACAGAGCUGGCCAAUCCGGUGCCAGCCGCCGCGGGCACACCAAGGCUCAAGUUGAUCCGGCGUAAAGCGUGAUUAGAAGGUUAAACUUAGACUAAGCUGUGGAAGCUUGUUUUUAGGAAACGCACCCCGAAAGGAACCCCAACUCACCCAUUCGAACCCACGACAGUUAGGACACAAACUGAGAUUAGAUACCCCACUAUGCCUAACCGUAAAUCUUAAUUACCGCCAGGAAACUACGAGCAAAGCUUAAAACCCAAAAGACUUGACGGUACCCCACAUCCCACUAGAGGAGCCUGUCCUACAACCGAUAAUCCGCGUUUAACCCAACCAUUUUUUGCUCAGCCUGUAUACUUCCGUCGUCAGUUCACCGCAUGAGCGAAAGUGGGCUCAAUAGCCGCCACCAAUACGUCAGGUCAAAGUGCAGCAAAUAAAAUGGCCAGAGAUUGGCUACACUUUCUAUAGAAGAAACAGAAGAUUAAAUGAAAUAUCAAAAGGUGGAUUUAGAAGUAAGAGAUUAAAAGUGCUUCUCUUAAUGGCACUGGAGUAUGUACACACCGCCCGUCACCCUCU
rnacentral:rRNA from 1 species